CAGCCGUAAACUAUGCGCGUUUGGUGUACUGGUGACCACGCGUUACUGAUGCGCCGAAGAGAAAUCGUGAAACGCACCACCUGGGAAGUACGGUCGCAAGGCUGAAACUUAAAGGAAUUGGCGGGGGAGCACCACAACAGGUGGAGCCUGCGGUUUAAUUGGAUUCAACGCCGGACAUCUCACCGGAUAAGACAGCUGAAUGAUUGUCAAUCUGAAGGUUUUACAUGACUAGCUGAGAGGAGGUGCAUGGCGUCAGUGACU
rnacentral:rRNA from 1 species